UCAGCAAUGACGUGACUGAUUACUCAAAUUUCUUGUGAUGUUGCUGUAAUGAUAGCAUUUAUGACCGUGUAUAUGACUCACUUGUAGAUUAUAUGUGCUAGAGGGCGGGGAGUGUGUGUGUGUUUGAAAGAGAAGAAAAACCAACAGGUAUUCACAGGUCUCUGCUUUCCUUCCCUUCCCCUUUUUGUUGUAGAUUCCCCCACUGAAAGUGCAACUAAACUUAAUUCUUGUUGAACAAGAAUACUAGGGCUAAUCGUCAAGAAAAGCAAUCUCACUUUUUUGGAACCAAUUGGGUCGGCGGAUUUUUUUUCCAGGUGUGAACGGUAAAGAGAUCUGCUUCCUCCUUCCUGACCUCAACUUCCCAGACCACAAUGGAAACUCACCCCCAACCCCAGCCAAGAGGUAUCGACUACAGCCUACCCACCUGCGGAGAGCUCCAAUGCCAUGGCAAAGGUGUUUGUGUGCUUCCCCCUGGUGGCGGCUCUGGCUAUGCUUGCGAGUGUAACCUGGGCUAUCAGGGCAAAUCCUGUGAGAGAACAUUUAACGGGUCACUUAGCCUCCCGCUGACCUUGGGCGUGCUGGCAGUUCUCUUCGGUUUGAUCAUCCUGGCUUUCAUCUUAGCCAAAUUGCGACAGAAGCAAAAACGGAGGAAGAGGGACUUGAUGCAGCAACAGGUGAAACAAGUUCUGUGUGAAGCUGGUCUCUCACACUAACACCAGAGGCGAAUUUGAGAACCUUCAUCAAACAUUCAUCUUCUGCAACUGGCUUUAUUCCAGCGUUAAAAUGAACUAACGUGGACCUUUUUGUUUCAAGGCUGACCCUUCAACCCAAAUGCUGAAUUAAGCUUUCGUACUGUGACUGAUUUGGCUGUCUAUUUCUGACAUUGGUAAUGAAAUGACACUGCCAGAUAACUUAUCUAUUCAAAGCCAACUGGAAGUCAAGUUGUAUCUAUUUAUCUAUAUUUUCAUAUGAAAAAUAUGUCUGCAUAUUGCUGUUGUAUAGUGUGUGGUACAUUUGAUGGCCCACACACCAACCAUAACCGUAUCGCCACGGCAAUUAGCUAGAGUUGAGGGUUUAUUGUGUGUGUUUUGUUUGCCAUUUCUGGUGCCAAGAAAAUUUUAAACUGUCAAUUCUGCUUGGAUUGAUACAAUCAAAACACAAAUUUAUGAAAAGUUUUUGUUGCCAGGUGAAUUUACCACUGAAGAUGCAAGCCUGUAAAAGUUACACUUAUAGGGCACUUGUAUUCACAAAAAAAAAAAAAAAGAAAAUCACAAAAAAAUAAGACUACAAUGUUAACACUUAAAGCAGAAAAAUAAUAAAAUAUUAGGAAAGCCAGUCCAUCAAUUAUUCUUGGGUAGGGGUAACGAACUCCCUUCAAGAGCUCCCGCCCUGCUCGUUUUCCAUGUCUCCGUCCUUUAACGCACCUGAAUCAAAUGAUCAGCAAGCUCUGCCCGAACGGUCCUGAUUGAGUCAGGUGUGUUGAAGGAGGGAGACAUGGAAAACCAGCUGGAUAGGGGCUCUCGAGGACCGUAGUUUGAUACCUCUGUUCUGAAGGCAUUGAGUCAAUCGAAACUGGACUUUUCUGGUUGUCUUAUCAUAGGCCACAUCAUAGUUAUCGUUUCAUUUGACAUUCAGUCAUAUAGACAACUAUUGGAUUAGCAAAUGAAUUGACAAAUUAAUAGUCAAUUAAUAGUUUAUAGAUAUUAACUAAAAAUUGUCUAAAUCUUUUUUUAGAGCCUGAUAGAAAAUAUUCGUAUAUUUUCUGAUAAAGGAAACUGGGUAUUUGUAGUUCAGAAAAAAAGGAAAAACAUUUUUCAACUUAAUAUGAAAGGAAAAUGCAUUAUUUUCUAAAUCGGAAAAUGGUACAAAAUCUUUUGAUUUCUGCAGUCCUCGAUCCUUUAUUAAGGCCCCUAGAAAUUGUAUUUGAAUUCUAUUUUGGCGAGAAACAUGAAGCUGGCGAACAUGUGAGCGACAAAACGAUGUGGUAAACCGGAAUUUACGGUGCCCCUAAAGCAGUACUUCUCCCCCAGGGGGACGCAGAGGGAUGCCAGGGGUGGUGCAUGUGACCUUGGGGAACAUAUUUGCCGUACUAAAAUAAAAUAUGAUUGCACAUCCACUCAGUGGGUGGCACGCUAAGACGAGGAAAUAUGAUGAAGUGUAUGUAGCGUUAGGCUUUGAAUUUUAAAACUGUGGGAGACUGAGAAAGACCAGUCUGUUUACUUUAUCUAAAUAUGUUUGCAGCGGACAGCGGGGAGCCGAAUCAAUUACGACGUCGUUCGCAAUCACAUUAUUAAGCCACGAAAAUGUGCCGAAUAUUGCCAGCAAUCGUCCUGCUUUGUUAGUGUUACGUCAGAAAAGCAGGGGGCACUGUUAGCAUCAUAUAAGGUGGAAUACCAAGUUACUCGGGGCAAAAUGACCACCGCAGCAUAGAAAAGGAGCUGAUACUGCCUGUAGCAAAAAUAAAAACUGCCCUCUGUCCUAUUACUUUUUUGUUCUAUGUUUUUUUCAGUCAAAUUGUUAGGCAUAUUGUCCUCAUGAGUUAAUGUUGCCAAUCAAUUUGAAUUAUUAUUUUAUUAAAUUUUAUUUUUCAGUACCAUAUGGUCAAAAAAUGUACCUUGAGUGUAUUUUUAGUUUGGAUAUGACUUUAUUUUUUCAUUCAGGAAUAUUGUUGCGCUUUUUCUUUUCUGUUACAAACAAAACAAUGUUAAUAAAGUUGUACUUUAUUGUUAAUCUAUAUUACCUUUUUUAAAAAAUGUAAUAUUAAAAAGGACGCAAUGUUAUGCAGAGGUGUACUUAUAAUAAUUUUGUAGACAAAUUAUACUAUUUACUCUGGGGGCAGAGAGUUAGUGGGGGCACGAAACGUUUGUCUUCCUGGAUGUGGGCAUAACAGAAAAUGAUUGAGAAGCACUGCCCUAAAGGGAAUCGACAGAAAUUUGAGCAUCCGGAUUGCUUUAAUUUUAUUUCUGUUGAUCUCACUUUAGGGACUCCGUAGGAUCUGGCCCUUGGGCCUCAGGUUUGACACCUGAGACUUCGAUCAUUUAACAAGAUGUACUGUCUUAACUACGCCCUGUAGAAUGAAGAGAAGUGAAAUAUCCUUCAAAACAACCAGAAAAGUCCAGUUGUGAUCGAUUUAAUGCCGUGAGAAUCAAAUGAACUUGAAAAAUGAGAAUAUUUACAAGCAAUCCACUCUUUAAAUAUGAAUAUUUACAAAAUAAUAAAACAGUAUACUUAUUUUUUUGACAAUGUAGUCCUUGACUAAGCUUGCGUCUCUGUUAUGGGCCUGCUCGUACCCGCCCAGCUAUUAACACACUGUUCUCCAAACUUUGCCUCUUUUGUUCGCUUGGAUUGCAGGGCAAAGCAUUGGAUGUAAAAAAAUCGCUAGACUAGUUUUAGUGCCCAACCUUAACAAUCACGUCUCAUCCCCAAGACCAACAUUCUCAAAAAAUGCAACUUAUGUUUAUAGCUUGCUUUAAAGAAGAUAGCCUCCUGGCCAUGGAAAAAGCGUGAACGCACUUUAUAUAGCAAACUAGGUGUCUUAUGUGAAAGUGUGACAAAACACUUGUCAAUUGGUCAACAAGUUGAGCAGCAUGAAAACUCGACCAAGAGAUUGUUUGGUUCCUUUCCUACCCUUCAAAGGUGGAAAUAUGUCCUCUUACCGUUUCAAUUCUUUGAGAGAAUACCAUUGUUUUAAUAGAUACCGCUCCAUUUGUCACUUUUUCACUGUGUUUGGCUGUUUUAUUAUUUACUGAAGUAAAUAGCGUCCAGGCUUCAUCAUGAAAAGUAAUGUAAUGUGUCAUUUGUUCUACUGUAAUUUACUGUCACUUCAAGCUAAGAAAAGAAUCCGUUACUGUGUGCUAAACAAACUUGGUUUCAUGCAAAGAGAGCUGGUUUGCAUUCUGAAUGUGCAGCACAAAGUGACAGCAGGUUUUAGACUAUUCAAUGGACUGCUGCAUCGCCUUGAGUGCCUUCUUAUUGUACAUAUAUAUACUUCUUUUAAGCUUAUAUGCACCUUAUGAGUUCAUGUUUAGUGAAAUGAUGUAAAAUAUUUCAAUAGAUGCACCAGAGUUAAUUCCCCUCUUGAAUGUUAUUACGCUAACUGUAGUAUAUAGAAAGUUGUGUCAUUUUGCACUUUGGAUAUCAAGUAAUAAAUCUGUUUUAAAACCUAAUUCAGAUGUUUCAUGUUAAUGUGUUAGGUUUUGUGUUGGUUUUCUCCUAGUGUGACUUUUCUCUGUGAUUGCCCAUUGAUUUCACCUGUUGUGACUUCUCCUAGUGUAACCUGCAAUCUGCAUCGUACUGUUACCCAGCUGUUCCUCG